rnacentral:rRNA from 1 species
AGAGAUGCUUUAGUGCCUUCGGGAACUCUGAGACAGGUGCUGCAUGGCUGUCGUCAGCUCGUGUUGUGAAAUGUUGGGUUAAGUCCCGNAACGAGCGCAACCCUUAUCCUUUGUUGCCAGCACGUAAUGGUGGGAACUCAAAGGAGACUGCCGGUGAUAAACCGGAGGAAGGUGGGGAUGACGUCAAGUCAUCAUGGCCCUUACGAGUAGGGCUACACACGUGCUACAAUGGCGCAUACAAAGAGAAGCGACCUCGCGAGAGCAAGCGGACCUCAUAAAGUGCGUCGUAGUCCGGAUUGGAGUCUGCAACUCGACUCCAUGAAGUCGGAAUCGCUAGUAAUCGUAAAUCAGAAUGUUACGGUGAAUACGUUCCCGGGCCUUGUACACACCGCCCGUCACACCAUGGGAGUGGGUUGCAAAAGAAGUAGAUAGCUUAACCUUCGGGAGGGCGUUUACCACUUUGUGAUUCAUGACUGGGGUGAAGUCGUAACAAGGUAGGCGUAGUGCU